UUCACACGUCCCCCCCGUGGGUUGUCUUUGCUGCCAUAAUGCCAUGGAUCUUUCCGAAGCCCUUUGUCUCUGGCGCAGCCUCCUAUGGACGGUGUGGAGCCGAUGCGCUUUCUGACCCAGUGCCAGUCUUGUUAAUAAGCGAGCUGAUUCUGUUUGCCUUUGUCGACAGGGCUCAGGUGUUCAACCUCUAACCAGCAAAGAAGAUGUAUACGCGUUUUCCAGGGUGAGCUCCUCUGAGGAAGACGAGGGCCCCUCUUCACUGAGGAGUCAGCUGCCCUUGAGAAGGGUCCUGAAGCACAGCACCCCUCUGGGAGCCUCCCCCAGCCUGCGCAGGAGGCCAGCAGGCCCUGUCCCCUCCCACCCAGCAGAGGGCCCUGAGCCUGGAUCCCCGCUGCCUGCACACCUCUCCUGGAACACCCCGGCCCCCCAGGCAGGGCUCAGCUCCACGGCCGCCCUCCAGACCCCGCAGCUUUCUAGCAUCUGGGCCUCCAGGGUGGCCAGUGGGCAGCCAGGGCCCAACCCAGACCCCCGGGCUCCCAGGGAAGAGCCGCCCACAGCGGCCUCGGUCACGCGGCAGCAGCAGCGAGUGGAGUCCCGCGGAGCAAGGAGCAGGCCUCGAUCCGUGGGGUUGCCCGGGAUCCCCAACACAGCCAGGAGGAGGAAGCGGGACCUGAAGAAGCUGGCCACUGUGAUGGAGCGCGUGAGGCAGUGGGAAAUCCGCCAGCUUCAGGACAUCGAGGAGGCCACUCAGCAUGAGCUCACCAUCCAGGACGAUUGACCCUCGGGGCCGGGGCCGGGGGGUGCGAUGCUCUGGAGCUCGCACCUCGGCCGGACUCACCCGGCCCUCUGUCUGUCUGCAAACCCCAGCCCUCCUCAGGGCUUGCCCAGGUCCUGCUUGAACCGCUGCCCUCCCCGCGCUGCGCCUCUCGAGUCGGGUGGGGGCGAGCUAACGAGGCUCUCCGAGGUACCACCAGACUGCAGGGCCCAGAGGGAGCCGACGGGGGAGGUGGAUGCCCACUGCGCCACCCUGGGGGUGCCCGCCACCCCUGCGGCUUCCCCAGUGUGACCCAGGGCACAGGAUGACAUUUUGCACGUACAGACCAGGGAGCGUGGCGACCCAGCCGCCCACACAGGGCUGGGGCCACACACCCAGCGGGCUCAGGAUGCCAUUCCGGGAGAGUCAGACACUGGGACUCUGAGCGGGAGGCGCUUUGGGCGGUUUGCAGGCGCUGGUUCCGAAAGGUGGGGGUGGGGUGAAGAAUCCGACCCUGUGCCGUGGUUCGGGCCGUCUCUGCCCCGUCCCUGUGCAGUCUCGCUGGGGUCCCACGGAAAAGCUGGAGGUGUUUACACCCUGUGCUCUGUUUUUUUUCCUUCCGAAAACGAAAAGAGCGUUUGUUUCCAACCCUACCCCGGGCCAUCUCCAGGGCUGCCCCUCCAGGCCUGGCCAUGGUGGCCCCACUCUCAGGGCUGCAGAUCAAGCUCACUGCUGGACAGAAUCAGGAGGCAGCCCUAAAGCAGGGCACUCCCUGUGUUUGUUGGGAGGUUUCCAACAAGGAAGGAGGACAGUCCUCCCGGGGUGGGGGUGGUUUGCCGUCACUGGAUGAGUCACUUCAAAUGACUGUACGUGUGGGAAGAGCGGAUUUACGGUCCAGUGGGCUUACACAGUCCUGCGUGUCCUGACCCGGUUCUUCCUUCAUAAGCUGACUCUUCAACGUGUUCACUUCUCCCUUUGUUAUAACAUUUAUUGUCGGAUUAUGGAAAUGAUAAGUUUAUGAAUUUUUCAAAUACAACACAAAAGUAUAAAGCAGAAAGUCUGCCUAGAAUUGCAUACCGUGGAAAAAUACUUCAGUGCAAACCCUU